GCCAGUUUGAUGUAGUGGUUUGCACAUUGGACUACAACUCUGAAACCCAGGGUUCAAAUCCCUGCUCAGCCA